UGUUGUUCAUAUAUCUAACCUGGGAAGCAA
rnacentral:piRNA from 1 species